rnacentral:lncRNA from 1 species
GGAUAUUUAAAAUUUUCUGAUGGAAUUGACGUAACACAGUCAACAAAGAUUCCGACCAAGUUAAAUUUGCUGAAUCAACAUAGAUAACACAGUCUCUUUUUUGUUGCCUUACACUCUUCUCCUUCAUGCCCUAAAACUCAAAAAGUCAGAUCUGAUUAAAAAAACACUUCAAAAUAAAUGGAACAAUAUUAUGCAAUGAGGAAAAAAAAUAUCAUUCAUACAAGUCAAGAAGAAAAAAACAAAACUAUGUCAAACUUUGGAACAAAGAGCAAACGAGUGAGCUUGAAAAAGUAUUAUUGAGAAGACUGAAG